CCUACGGUUGGCAGCAGUGGGGAAUAUUGGACAAUGGGCGAAAGCCUGAUCCAGCCAUGCCGCGUGUGUGAAGAAGGCCUUCGGGUUGUAAAGCACUUUCAGUGGGGAAGAAAGCCUUGGGGCUAAUACCCUCGAGGAAGGACAUCACCCACAGAAGAAGCACCGGCUAACUCCGUGCCAGCAGCCGCGGUAAUACGGAGGGUGCGAGCGUUAAUCGGAAUUACUGGGCGUAAAGCGCGCGUAGGCGGUCUGAUAAGCCGGUUGUGAAAGCCCCGGGCUCAACCUGGGAACGGCAUCCGGAACUGUCAGGCUAGAGUGCAGGAGAGGAAGGUAGAAUUCCCGGUGUAGCAGUGAAAUGCGUAGAGAUCGGGAGGAAUACCAGUGGCGAAGGCGGCCUUCUGGACUGACACUGACGCUGAGGUGCGAAAGCGUGGGUAGCAAACAGGAUUAGAUACCCGAGUAGUC
rnacentral:rRNA from 1 species